AAAAGCAAAGGUAGCUCUACUGUGACUAUAAGGUCUCAGCUUAAAAGGUGGCUUUCCAGAGAGGCCUUUCCUGAGCUUCACAUCUAAAACAGCACACUAAUCUCCCCAACAGGCUAUUUAGAAUAGCUUCAUUUCCUUCAUUUAUAUUUCUAUUAGAUACUUCCAUGUUUAUAUCUGUUAAUUGUCUACCUCCCUUCCACUGGAAUAUGAAUUCUAGACCUUGCUUUGUUAUCCCCAGUGCAUAGAAUGCUGCACAUAAUAGGUGCACAACAUUUGUUGAAUGAAUAAACCUAUAUUUGGAAACUAAAUUGUUAAUCCCUUACUUUAGGCUAGCUCACUAGUUGAUGAUUUUUAAAAAUUUGUUCCAUGGUUGGUUCUUUACUGUUGUUCAAUUUGUCUGAACAGUACAUCUUUCCCACUUCUCACUGUAGAUUUAUUUAUUUGUGGAUAUAAUUAAAGUUCUUUCUGAUGAUGCUGCAUUAGAGUGGAGAACAUUUAUCAAUCAGAUGGCAGUGUUUUGUGUAAGGUGUAUUAUAAUUAGUGUUUUGCCAAUAAAAUCGCAAAGCCUGUGGAUUUAUUGAAAGAAAUAAGUUGGAGUGAAUUUAAGUGUUUGUUGUUUUUAAUUUUAAUUACAUUACUGACUUGUGUUUUCUUGAAGGGGAGACAAAGAGGCUGCCAGGACUUGUUCCUGACUUUGGGCAAGUAUGUUGAAAAGAAAGACUGAGAUGCAUUUCUCUGGAUACAACUUUAAUAUCAGCUGCCUGGGCUAGAAGUUGUGAGAGUAAGAGGAGUGAACCCUUGUUUCAGCUGAAGGUAAAAGAUGGGGAAAGGCAAGAAGAUGGGAAGUGGAAGGGGAAAAAGGGACAGGAAGAUUGUUUAUCAGUUGAAAUGGCAUAAGAUAAAAUGGAAGCCCUUCAGACCUGAAUUGACAUCUUAUUACAUUCCACCUGAUUACUCAGUAAAAAUAAAAAACUUCAGCUGAAUAACGAGAACCAGUUGUCACCCAGAUCUUCAAUUAUUCACUUAAGGGUCCACGUGGCACUGACGGAGCAGGAGAACUCUUCCCUGGCUCUGUCAAACUUUAGGCAUGGAGAACACAGAGGAUUCCUUAGGGACCUGUCCUUCUUUCCUGGAGGAAACUGGAAGUCUUUUCUUUGAUCCGAGAACAGAAGAAAAUUGCAGUUAACAAGGGGAGGAAACGUAUGGAAGGUAGAAAAGCUAUAAAUGGAGGCUGGGCUUCGGGUAAUUGAGUGAGAAGACUGUCUUCUGUUGAGCUGCUCAAGAAAUACGUGUCACUGAGGUGAGCAAGUAAUACCAUCUGUCAGAGUCUUUUUGGCAGCUUCAAGUAGAUCAUGGUGCCCUGGGAGAGCUUCACAGAGCAGAAUAUCUGGAAUGUAGGCCAAGUCCUGCCAUGGUGCUUAGAGUGAUUUGACUGGGGUUUAAGUAAAUAUGUGAGAAUUUAUAUGUUCAAAAGACCUGUAAUUCCUUUUCAAUUCAUGAGUCUAUGUGCUGGAAUCCUCCCAGCAGCCCCACAGGAGUCAUUUUCUGCUUUCCUGCCCUGCUCUGUGCCUGGGGCUGAUCCUGCAGGCUGCAUCCCCAAAGCUCCCUAAUGGCCUCAGUUGUAUUCUCAGGAGAAGCCCCAGGAGGAAAGGGAGGUCAGGGCACACAUGGUCUUCUCUUCCCUGUUUUGGAACCAUAUCUCUCAUGACAGCUAUAGACCUUCUCAACUGCUGCAACACAUCUCCAUACUUAAGCUCUUUCUGUGUCCUGGAAACAUCAUUUCCUCCCUGUGACUCUAGCCCCUGAUAUUACUGGUUUCUGCACACCCAUCCUUUGCUUGUUCCCUGCCAACACCUAUGUAAGUGUCUUUUUGUUUGACCCAUCUUUUUUAAAACUUUAAUUUUAAGUUCCAGGAUAUAUGUGCAGGACAUGCUGGUUUGUUACAUAGGUAAACACAUGCCAUGGUAGAUUUGCUGCACCUAUCAACCCAUCACCUAGGUAUUAAACCCUGCAUGCAUUAGCUAUUUAUCCUUAUGCUCUCCCUCCCUCUGCCAUCCUGAUAUGCACUGGUGUGUGCUGUCCCACUCCCUGUGUCCAUGUGUUCUUACUGUUCAGCUCCUACUUACAAGUGAGAACAUAUAGUGUUUGGUUUUCUGUUCCUGUGUUAGUUUGCUGAGAAUAACGGCUUCCAGCUCUACUCUCCAGUCCAUUAUUGAUGGGCAUUUGGGUUGAUGCCAUGUCUUUGCUAUUGUGAAUAGUGGUGCAAUGAACAUACAUGUGCAUGUGCAUGUAUCUUUAUAACAGAAUGAUACAUAUAUGCGUGUGCACACACACAGAUAUAUAUAUAUAUCUGUAUAUUUGAGAUGGAGUCUUGCUCUGUUGCCUAGGCUGGAGGGCAAUGGCAUGAUCUCGGCUCACUGCAACCAUUGCCUCCCAGGUUCAAGUGAUUCUCCUGCCUCUGCCUCCUGAGUAGCUGGGAUUACUGGUGCCCACCACCAGGCCCAGCUAAUUUUUUUGUAUUUUUAGCAGAGACAGUAUUACAUCAUGUUUGCCACAUUGGUCUCAAACUCCUGACCUCAAGUGAUCCACCUGCUUCAGCUUCCGAAAGUGCUGGGAUUAUAGGUGUGAGCCAUUGCACCUGGCAGAAUGAUUUAUAUUUUUGGGGGUAUAUGUUCAGUAAUGGGAUUCCUGGGUCAAAUGGUAUUUCUGCAUUUCAACCAUCUUAAAUGAUUUCUGUUUCUUGCUAGAACACUCAAGGUCUAUAUACUUAUUUUUAUAAUAAUAAUAAGGUUGCAUAGUUACAAUGUGCCAGGUAUAGUUAUGAGGGUUUUUUUUUUAAUAUACAGACUUUAAUCUCAUAACCCUCACCACAACCCUAAGAGGUAGGUAUUAUUAUCUUCAAUUUACUCAUGAGGAAAUGAAGAUACUAUGUGGUAAGUCACUUGAGUAAUAAAUUACAGAGUAAUCUCAGGAGCUGCGAUUCAAACCCAGGCACACGGACUUCACAGUCCCUGAUUUAGUGCUCAGAACAUGUUUAAAUUCUUAAGUAAAUAAUGAAAAAGCCACUGCACUAGACCCUGGACUGGAAAUUUUACUGAAAUUUGAAUUUAUGGAAACCUGGAAAAGUUCUUAUUGUUUUCAGGUAUGGCAUAGUCUACCUGAUGACAGUGCUGAGCAUUAAGUUCUGUCGUAGAGAAUGUGCAAAGUGCAUCAGAGUGAAGUGGGCUCAAAGACAAAAGAUCUUGUUCUUGUGAAAUGGCAGGGGGACAAGUCACGGGUGGGGAGGAAGCCCAUAGGCAAUGGGAAUAGGAGAAAGAGGGGGCUCAUGUGUCAGGUACCUGGGAGUGUGUGAGGGAGAGAUGACACUAUCAGGAGGUUGGAAUCAGAUUUUGAAGAGCUGUGCAGGGAAGUUUGGUCUUGAUCUUGAAGACAACAGGGGAAUAAUCAGAAAGUUUUUAAAGCAGGAAAAUAACAGGAUUCAAUUUUUAUUUAAGAAAGAAUAAGAUGAAUGGGUAGACAGAUGCCAGAAGGACUGGUUGGGAGGAUGAUGAUGAUCCAAACGUGUCAUUAAUGGGCCUGCAAUAGAGGAGUGGAGAGGAUGAAUUGGAGUUGGCACAGUUUGGUGAGUGACCAAAUGUGAGGUCACAGGGGAAGGAGGAAUUCAAGGGAAUUCAGACAUUUAUUCUUCAAAGCCUGUGUCACAUUCUUUUGGUAUCUUUAGAUAUCAGCCUUUUAAUAUAGAACUGACUUUUGGAGUAGCCAGAAAUCAAAUCAGGUGAAUAAGACAGGUAAUAAAAUUAUUUUCCUCUUAUACUUAUAAUUUUUUUUAAAGCAAAAGCACAACACAAGUAGAUUUCAACCAAAAAUAAGGGAAGGGGCAAUACAAUGAAAUUCAGAACAAGGUGUUAUUAAGGUAAACUUUUGGGAGAAAGUGACUCUUAAAAGUAAAGUUAAAGUUUUUGAGGAAUAGUACUAUUUUACCCAAAGUAUAACUCUUAAGUACAAAACACAACUUUAGAAGUCAGCAAAAGAAAGAUUUUUAACAAAUGUACUAUAGUUUAAAUGUUACCUAUCAUCACCAUUCAUCAAAAUCAUGUUGAAAUUCAGUUUCAAUAUAGAAAAGUUUUAACUGUUGUUUCAUAAAAUAAUGUGCUGGUAAGUUUAAAAAUAAUUUAAUAUAUAACAUUUCAAUCAUAAAAUGGAAUUAAACACAAGUAUUUAUAAAUUUUAGUUGCCUGAGCAACAGAAGUGUUUCCUAGAACAGCCGUGUUCAAACCUUAGUGCACUUGUUAAAAUGCAGAUUCCCAGUCCCCACUCUAGAGAUUCUAACUCAUGAGGCAGAUAAAGUUCUGGAGUGUGUAUUUUUCACUCCCCUCCAGGUGAUUAUUAAGCACUUUGAGACACACAGUGAAAACCUUUGCUUAACCAGGAAAAAAGCAGGCAGAUAGAACAACGUGAUCAUCCCAUCUUCGCAUGUAAAAUAUUUCCUGUCAAUUCCAGUUGUGGACAGAAAACACAGUAGGCUAGUCAACAGCUUAGCCUCCUUCCUCUUCAUUAUAACCUUCUGCCUGCUGACUGGUAAAGGGCAUAAUUGCAAAUUUGCUACUUUUAGAUUGAUUCCUGGAAAUUACCAGAAGCAAAAUACUUGCUGUUUCAUAGCAAAUACAUGCACAAAAGUCCAACCAGAAUAGUACACAAUGAAAAGAAAAUAUUAGGGGCAGGCCCCAAAGAGAAAGAAAAUGCUCUGUGCUGGGGAAUGUGCUGGGAGGUGAUACUCACAGAGAUCGGAGGCUAAGCAACUGCUGGAAAGUGUCAACUUUAAUUUCGUAGAUUUCAUUAUGUCUUAGGUCACUGAAAUGACAGGGUGGCAAAGAUUGAUUUCAAAGUUACUGGUUUCAAAGAUUACAGACUUCAGAUGACUUUUAUAGAGGGACUACCUGCCCUCAAUCAAAGGAACACAUGAAGUGUAUCUAUCAAGUGACUGAUUUUUGUUUGUUUAAAGAAGAACAUUACCAUUUACACACUCAAGUAUUGUGCCUUUCAAAGGAGCUGGUUCACUUGGGAGGACAUAUAACUACAUUCCAAACAUGUAAUCAUCAUUCAAAACACUGGAGGACUCUUCUUCUAGUGCUGCCUUCUGAGCCUUUCUGGGAUUCAAGGGUCUUCAGGAGGGUCGUCAAUUCUUUACCUUUUGCAGAUGGAUUUGCUUUGUUUUUCUCUCUUAAGCACCAAAAGUCAUUGAGAGAAAAACUAAGUGUGAAGGGAUAGAAGAUGGUUAAUAUUGUUUUGAUCAAAACUAAAGUGUGACUAAAAAACAAGGCUGAUGUUUUGUAGAGGUGGCAAUUUUAAGAGAGGAAUUCUAAAGUGUUUUAUGCAUAAGUAGCAUCUGUAGCACCUUAAAUAUGACAAAUAUGGCCCUCUUUAAAGAUGACUAUUGUGAAAGAAAAACACCAAUAAACCUAAAUUCCAAUAUAUCAGAAAAUAACACCACUUAUUGGAUAUGUAAGUUUGGUUGUACUUGUAAAAUAAGAAAAAUUUCAAAGCCCAAACACACCCAAUUCACUAGUACCCUAAGUUAGAAGGGAAAAAAAAGCAGAUAUAUAAUAAAUGUUUUACUAAUAUUAUGGUACAGCUCAUGAAAAAUAAUAUUAUCUAUGUUUCCCAACUUUCUAACCAUCCUGCACAGUCACACCUUGUGCAUGUAAGAAGGAAAAGGAUCACAUGUCUCCCCAAUGAACCACAGGGUAGAUGAACAAAUGACCCUGAGAAAUGAGAGUUUUGAUUCUUGAUUUUUGCUAGGUGACUUAGAGACUUCUAGACUUACAUUUUCUGAAGCUUUUGGCAAACUGAAAAACUGGGUAAAUCUUCUAAUAGGUUGUAUGACAGAUCUCUGAAAAACAGAAGGUGCAAAAAGGGAAAAUCUGUUACAAAUAAAUCAUAAAGAAACAUGCUUUGCUCUCCUUUUCCCUCCAAGAUGUUAUAUCUCCCAAAGGCAGACUCUGAACAUUUUCACAGCCUGAUAUGGAGGAGGUAUUAUUGGAUUAACCAGUAGAUUUAAAUGUUUACUGAAAUGUAACUGUUAUACUUCUUUAAUUGAUUUAAAUAAUUUACUUAAUGAAUUCAUUUAUAUUUUGUUAGCAGUGCUCUACAAUGUUCUAGCUUUUAUCUUACUGCAAUGAGUACAAAUUAAAUAAUUGUGCCUCUGUCUCUAAGAGCUGCUACAUCUCUACAGCUAAGAUAAAUCAUUGUUGUUUCUUUUCUGAUCAACUCGUGAAAAAAAACCUAACAAUUCAAAACAUAGCAGGAACUUUGAAAUCAAUCACCGCAAGAAGGAGGCAGGGGAACAGAAUCUAAGAAAGUUUUCAGCCAAAAUUAAACAAAUUACAGAAUAACAAAAACAUCUGGACAUAUUUAUAGUAUAAUAUAACUAAUCUAAAGCAAGCCAUCAUAAUUUGCAGAAAGCUUAAAAGCAAAGAAAGUUGGUAGAUAAUGUAACAUAGAUAUAUAAAAAGCAAUUUUGUUUUAUGUUUUAAAUGUUAUCAGCUAAUCAGCUAACACAUUUUCAUGCCUGAUUCUAAUACUUGAAACCAGAUUACCACUAUGCAAUGAAAAAAAUUGUACUGUUUUCUAAGAGACUUUAAAUCAUUCUUA